GGGUCGAUGGCGAAGUUGGUUAUUGCAUCCGUCUCACAUCGGCAUGCAUUGGUUCAUUCAUGCACGGAAGGUCCUCAGUUCGAUCCUGGGUUGACCCA